rnacentral:rRNA from 1 species
AAAAAGGGUAUUCCCUAGUAGCGGCGAGUGAGCGGGAAGAGCUCAAAUUUGUAAUCUGGCGUCUUUCAGGCGUCCGAGUUGUAAUCUAUAGAAGUGUUUUCCGUGCUGGACCAUGUCCAAGUCCCUUGGAACAGGGUAUCAAAGAGGGUGACAAUCCCGUACUUGACAUGACCACCAGUGCUCUGUGAUACACUUUCUACGAGUCGAGUUGUUUGGGAAUGCAGCUCAAAAUGGGUGGUAAAUUCCAUCUAAAGCUAAAUAUUGGCGAGAGACCGAUAGCGAACAAGUACCGUGAGGGAAAGAUGAAAAGCACUUUGGAAAGAGAGUUAAACAGUACGUGAAAUUGUUGAAAGGGAAACGAUUGAAGUCAGUCGUGUUCAUUGGACUCAGCCGGUUUUCGGUGUAUUUCCUUUGAACGGGUCAACAUCAGUUUUGUCCGGUGGAUAAAGGCAGGAAGAAAGUGGCUCCCUCGGGAGUGUUAUAGCUUUCUGUCACAUACACUGGAGGAGACUGAGGACUGCAGCUCGCCUUUUGGCCGGGGUUCGCCCACGUUCGAGCUUAGGAUGUUGACAUAAUGGCUUUAAACGACCCGUCUUGAACAACGGACCA